rnacentral:tRNA from 1 species
UGAGGGGUGGCGGAAUUGGUAGACGCACUGGACUUUGAAUCCAGCAAUUGAGGGUUCAAGCCCCUCCCCCUCUUCCA